GACAUAGCUCUGUUGCUGGAGCAUGAGACUCUUAAUCUCAAGGUUGUGGGUUUGAGCCCCACAUGGGGCA